GAGCGCAACCCCUGUGGUUAGUUGCCAGCAAGUAGCGUUGGGCACUCUAGCCAGACUGCCGGUGAUAAAUCGGAGGAAGGUGGGGACGACGUCAAAUCAUCAUGCCCUUUAUGUCCUGGGCUACACACGUACUACAAUGGCCGUUACAACGGGAAGCGAAGGAGCAAUCCGGAGCAAAUCCCUUAAAGGCGGGUCCCAGUUCAGAUUGUGGGCUGAAACUCGCCCACAUGAAGGCGGAAUUGCUAGUAAUUGCAGAUCAGCAUGCUGCAGUGAAUACGUUCCCGGGCCUU
rnacentral:rRNA from 1 species